rnacentral:rRNA from 1 species
GCCCCUACGGGGGGCAGCAGUGGGGAAUUUUGGACAAUGGACGCAAGUCUGAUCCAGCCAUUCCGCGUGCAGGACGAAGGCCUUCGGGUUGUAAACUGCUUUUGUACGGAACGAAAAGGUUUCUAUUAAUACUAGGAGCUCAUGACGGUACCGUAAGAAUAAGCACCGGCUAACUACGUGCCAGCAGCCGCGGUAAUACGUAGGGUGCAAGCGUUAAUCGGAAUUACUGGGCGUAAAGCGUGCGCAGGCGGUUCUAUAAGACAGAUGUGAAAUCCCCGGGCUUAACCUGGGAACUGCGUUUGUGACUGUAGGACUGGAGUGUGGCAGAGGGGGGUGGAAUUCCACGUGUAGCAGUGAAAUGCGUAGAGAUGUGGAGGAACACCGAUGGCGAAGGCAGCCCCCUGGGUCAACACUGACGCUCAUGCACGAAAGCGUGGGGAGCAAACAGGAUUAGAUACCCUGGUAGUCCACGCCCUAAACGAUGCGAACUAGGUGUUGGGGAAGGAGACUUUCUUAGUACCGCAGCUAACGCGUGAAGUUCGCCGCCUGGGGAGUACGGUCGCAAGAUUAAAACUCAAAGGAAUUGACGGA